AGUCGGAGAGCUACAGUGCUGGUGUCUUCAGUCAACGAAUCCACAGUUGCAUCAUUGCAGAAGCUUUUUUAGGGUUUGUGCUUCUAAAGCUUUGGAUCAUAUUCCGUAUCUGGUGAUCUAUUAUGGAGAAGAUGCAGUCUAUUGAACGAAACCGAUUUGUAUGGAGCCGUUGAUUGCGUUCGUUCCAUAACCAGUAGAUUGAAGCUUGCCAUCCAAGGAGAAUCAGAGAUCGAGUAGUACUUGGUGGUGGUAGAGACAGCAUUUGGUUUAGAGAGCUCUCCCAUGUUCGAUCAGGCCUAAGUCUACACCUUCCCGCGACAAGUUUCCAAAUCUCGAACGCAAAGUCACAGUCCCAGUACAAGUGGUCUCGCGAUUCAUCACUUGAGUUGCAAAGGAGACAUAGAGAUGGUACCUGUAUACCCCUGCCAAUCAACCGGUCUCGAGUUGGGAGUCUGUUUUGCACUACAAGCCACACAUGGAAGCUCUGCCGUGGAAUACGUCUUGAGGUCCAGACUACAGGCCACCAAGAAACUUCACCAACCUCUCCACACAGGUAGCCGCCAAGUUCCAUCAUGAUGCAGCGAUGCCAAAGUAGCAUCUUUUGGAAUUCCUAGUCGACUUCUUCCUCCUUCCAAGUAGUCCUGCAGUCUCCCAAAAGGGCUCCAAUUAUCAAUCCAGAAUCUGCCUCUCUCUCCAUUCUGAAUCCGAAGAUGAAUGAAAGGGAGACCCAAACUGAGUCUGGUCUGAAGAAUAGGAGCCAAAUCAGUCUCAAGCAACACGCUUUGUUCCAUGUCUUGAGAUCCUUUACCCCAAGUCCACCUUGCUCCUUCGUUUUUACAACCGUUUCCCAUGCAAUCCUCGCCGAGUGGUGACCUUCGAGAUUCCCUUUCCACAAGAAAGCACUGCACAUUGAGUUAAUCUUUGCCACACAUCUCUUCGGGAGAACAAAAGAGGAGCACCAGCAUGUGGUAAUCCCUGAGAUCACUGUCUUUAUGAGCAUCAAUCUUCCAGAGAAUGAUAGUGUUUUUGUUGACCAGGAGGAGAAGCGAGUCAACAAAAUUAGUGUCUUUAUGAGCAUCAAUCUUCCAGAGAAUUAGCUGAAUGUUGAUCUAACCAUAUGAAUAUUUAUUUGUUUUAGGUAAUUUAAUUUAACACAACGAUGAGAAAGAGUUAAAUGAGGACAUAGUAAAGUUAA